rnacentral:piRNA from 1 species
UUNGAGAGUAGAUCUGGACCUACUACGAUC